UUAGGUCGGGAACUCAAAGGAGACUGCCAGUGAUAAACUGGAGGAAGGUGGGGAUGACGUCAAGUCAUCAUGGCCCUUACGACCAGGGCUACACACGUGCUACAAUGGCGCAUACAAAGAGAAGCGACCUCGCGAGAGCAAGCGGACCUCAUAAAGUGCGUCGUAGUCCGGAUUGGAGUCUGCAACUCGACUCCAUGAAGUCGGAAUCGCUAGUAAUCGUGGAUCAGAAUGCCACGGUGAAUACGUUCCCGGGCCUUGUACACACCGCCCGUCACACCAUGGGAGUGGGUUGCAAAAGAAGUAGGUAGCUUAACCUUCGGGAGGGCGCUUACCACUUUGUGAUUCAUGACUGGGGUGAAGUCGUAACAAGGUAACCGUAGGGGAACCUGCGGUUGGAUCACCUCCUUACCUGAAAGAA
rnacentral:rRNA from 3 species